GAGAGCGGAAAGAAAAGUCCUAUUCAGGCGCUCUCCAGAUAUCAAACAUUUAUAGACCGUUUGUUCAGUCUUUUUUUUAUAAUUUAAAAAUUCAGCUUUUGAGCUAUUUUUUUGGCAAAGAAGGGUUUGAAACCCUUCUUUGUUCUGGUUAUUGUUAAUUGUUAUAACUACCUCAUCGUAAUAUACCGAGCAUCCAGACCAAUCGCCUCGCCAGUGCAAAUCAAGGACGUUUUACCUAACCAUCCACCCAGAGCCGGACCAACAGGAAGAAGACCAGCCACUAACAACCGCAAGUAGCCUAAUUAAACUUACGAGUAGCAAGUUAACAGCAAUUAAAUAAAGAAAGUUAGCCGGUG